UACGAAGGGGGCUAGCGUUGUUCGGAAUUACUGGGCGUAAAGCGCACGUAGGCGGACUAUUAAGUCAGGGGUGAAAUCCCGGAGCUCAACUCCGGAACUGCCUUUGAUACUGGUAGCCUAGAGAUCGGAAGAGGUGAGUGGAAUUCCCAGUGUAGAGGUGAAAUUCGUAGAUAUUGGGAAGAACACCGGUGGCGAAGGCGGCUCUCUGGGCCUUACCUGACGCUGAGGAGCGAAAGCGUGGGUAGCGAACAGG
rnacentral:rRNA from 1 species